GGCAGUUCCCCCGCUACACGUGGGGCCCAGGUGGCCGGGCCCCGCAGGGCCGCCGGGCCUGUGACAACCGUCAUGGUCACCCCCUGAUGGCGGCCCUGCUUUCAGUGUCAUUCCUUGCCUUACUAUGAAGUUGUGUGGGGGGGUCAAGGGUGUAUUGUGAAUUAUAGCAGUAUGAUGGUUUGGGUGAGAAGUGAAGGAAGUUGGAUGAGACAAAGUAGGGUGGGGUGAGAAGGGGUGUGCGGGGAGGUAUGGGAAGGUUGGGUGCUCUCUCUCAG